rfam:Clostridium aceticum strain DSM 1496, complete genome.
UUACUGGUGAAAGUCCAGUCAAGAUAGUGGUCAAGCAGUCUUGUAGCCAGCAACCAGCGUAAGUAGUAAUAUGAGCGUUGAAGCGUUGUGUAGGCAAGUCAGCUGGAUUUAUUGUAU